UCGUGUUAAGCCAAAAUCCGCCCUUUUUGACAGAAAAAAAUGAAAAACAAAAACCCUAACCAGAGAGAAAGAGAGCUAUUUCAAUUUUCAAUGGCGAUACAGACCACCUCGAGUUCGAGCGGAAGAAGACAUGCUUUAGGCAUACAACUCAAAGCACUUGUUUGUUUGGAGGGAGUUUCUGCGGAGACUACUUCUAGGGCAUUUGGGGACCUGUAAAGACAUAUAUUCAGAGCCAACUAGUCUUUGUGCAAGUCAGGUUAUGUUCUAUGAAGGGUUGAAAGAUUAAAUAGAGUAUGGGAAGCAAAAAUAGGUACAAUGGGUGGUUGGAUGCACAGGGGAUGUUCAGGUAGCAAAUCCAGCUUUAGCUCUUACCUUAAUGGCUGCACUACGGAAUUUCCCAGAAGGAUUGAGCAAUGAUAACACACGAGGGUACCCUAAAGGUUGUCCCUCAGAUAUUUGAGGGAUCCCUCAAUAGGAGAGAGAGAGGAAAUGAAGCAUUUUUUCUCGUCUUUUAUGUAAAGUUCACAUCAUCAGGAGGGGAUAAGAUUUGAAGAGUGAAGAGAUUGACAAGCAUUCUGUGUGAGAGAGAGAGAGAGAGAGAGAGAGAGAGAGAGAGAGAGUCCCUCUCCCUAGUUUCAAGGGUUGGUCCCAGUUUCCUGAUUCUCUAGUUGAUGAGCAUAUGUGUACUUUUUGUUGUACUCGUGUCGUGUGGACUAACUCAACCCUAGAAGAAGAAGAAUUGAAACAAAAUAACU